rnacentral:rRNA from 1 species
AUGAACGCUAGCGGCAGGCCUAAUACAUGCAAGUCGAACGAGAUUAAGAGGCUUGCUUCUUAUGAAAGUGGCGCACGGGUGCGUAACGCGUAUGCAACCUACCUUAAUCAGGGGGAUAGCCCGAAGAAAUUCGGAUUAAGACCGCAUAAAAACACAGGAUAGCAUUAUCCAAUGUUCAAAUAUUUAUAGGAUUAAGAUGGGCAUGCGUGUCAUUAGCUAGUUGGCGGGGUAACGGCCCACCAAGGCGACGAUGACUAGGGGAUCUGAGAGGAUGACCCCCCACACUGGUACUGAGACACGGACCAGACUCCUACGGGAGGCAGCAGUAAGGAAUAUUAGUCAAUGGAGGGAGCUCUGAACCAGCCAUGCCGCGUGCAGGAAGACAGCCCUCUGGGUCGUAAACUGCUUUUAUUCGGGAAUAAACCUUUCUACGUGUAGGAAGCUGAAUGUACCGAAGGAAUAAGGAUCGGCUAACUCCGUG